AUUGAACGCUGGCGGCAGGCCUAACACAUGCAAGUCGAACGAGUGGUGGAGGGGUGUAUAAUGUAUGGGAAACUGACCGAUGGAGGGGGAUAACCAAGGGACACGGUAGAUAAUAACGCAUAACAUCGUAAGUGCCCAUAUGGUUUUAGCGUGUAGGGGGGGUAACGGCACACCUAGGAGACGAUCCAUAGCUGGUCUGAGAGGAUGACCAGCCACACUGGACCUGAGACACGGUCCAGACUCCGCCUGGAGGCAGGAGUGGGGAAUAUUGCACAGUGGGCGCAAGCCUGAUGCAGCCAUGCCGCGUGUAUGAAGAAGGCCUUCGAGUUGUAAAGUACUUUCAUCGGGGAGGCGUUACUCGCAGAAGAAGCACCGGCUAACUCCGUGCCAGCCGCCGCGGUAAUAC
rnacentral:rRNA from 1 species